GGGCUGGUAGUCCAGUCAGGAAAAGACACAGGCUUCCGGAGCCUGUAAUCCGGGUUCAAAUCCCGGCCAGCCCGCCA
rnacentral:tRNA from 1 species